CGGAUGUCAACUUGGGCACCCCUUCACUCAACCUCUGACUAUAUUCGGGUGCCACUUUGACUCAAACCCAUCCUGCUGGCUCUCUAGGACAAUGGUCUACUGCGCUGGAGAAAUGUCCUGAGUAUCUGCAAUCUGGAACAGCGAAACUCCAUUGAUGGAAUUGGAUCUCACCAAUUCAUCUGUUGGCGUCAAUGGAGCUUGUUCUGAAACUUAAAAAGUAACUGUAAUGUUAAAUAUGACUGGUAUCUCUGACCCGUUUGUGUCCUCUUUCCUUGACUAGAAUUUGGCUAUGGUAAGUUGAAAUGUAAUUGCGACGGAUGUAUGCUGCUGAGAGCUGGUGGGGAGCAUCGAAUCUCGAGUUUUCUACAAGUAGUUAACAAGUUCGACUGCGUGGUUACACCAGUUCAGCUACUGUAACGCUCACUUUGGGUAAUGUGUGGUGAUGAAUGAUUGAAGAGCUUAGGCACGUUUACGAGCAUCGUUAAUGAGUUCGUUAACCAAUUUGUCUUACACUGCUAGCAGUUUCCACUCAGCAGUUUUCUUUGAGUUUAGAAUCGCAUUUCACUUCACAACUACAGGGUUUGAUAGCUGUGGGCCUCGCUGAGUUCAUACUGAUUGUACCAUUAGAGUUUGUGAGUUGGAGGCACUAACAUGACACCAUAAUGUUCUUCUAAUGCUCGGGCAUCUCAAAAUCUUCUGAUGGAUAUGGUCCUCCAGCGAAGCCAGAUGGAACACAAAUGUGUAGCUCAAGCAUCUGUUGAAUCGGACGCGGUGACAUUGCCUGAAGGUGGGGACAUUUCAGAGAAUUUUUCGGAUCUUGAUUCUGUUUCGAAAACCAUAACCUACAAAAACAAGUUAAUGUGGGAAUCACUUCACCAACCUGUACAUGUGUUUUCCACCCAAAUGAGAAACGAACAACAGAACAGGGAAACGGCGUUGAAGAAGCGAGACGCAGCUUCGCGUCCGGAAGGAGGAGUCGGAGAAAGCUGCGGUGCGUGAGGGUGUCAACAAGUCAUCGCAGGAGGGACAGGUUCAUGGACCUCCUCCGACACUUUCCACCUGGUGUUCUACACCUCAGCGGUCAAAUCCUGUCUUCAAUUUUCUAGGCAUUUUCGCGUCCUUCAAUCGUUGCGGCUUACUGGGAUUCCAAUGGUUUGAGAUUGUUAAGAAUGCUGAGAACGCUGAGAUUGCUGAGAACACUAAGAAUACGGAUGCAUCUAAUUGAUUGAGGAUCCUUGGUUGAAAGUUGUCACUACAAGCUGCUAAAGAAAUUUAUAUCGAGAUGAAUACCGGUGCCAAUCUCGGUCCCCACAUGUUUAAAUCCUUCAUGGAUUGUUGUGGGCGACAGCGAAAGGUCGGAACAACUGCAUCAUGUCUCACCGAUUUAAGACACUUGAAGAAUUUGAUCAGAUUGACUCAGCCAAAGGGGAGUUCAAGGCGGGUCGGAAGCGUGGACCACACAUGAUCUAUAUGAUUCACGAUACACGACACAUUACAAAGCAAUAGCGUGAGCCUGACUGCAAGGAUGUGUGUACAAAAAAAACACUUUUUCAAACCCAAUGCCGAUAUUGUUGCACAUCAAACCAUGCCUUUGCAUUGAUAUCUCGAGCAUUAGAGAUGGAUUGUCCCUCUUAGAAAGUUCUUCACUAAGAUUGAACGCCCGCAGUAGGAAUGAUCAUCUCAAAUCAAGUCACCCGGUGCUCAGUUUUCCUCAUUGGCUAGUAUCAACAGUAAAUUGCGAGUGUUAAGUUCCGUUAAUUACAGGAGACAGCAAGCUGCAAGAAAUCAGAAACUUGUGAGUUGAGAAACUACUAAUCUGUCGUACUUGUUCAUUGCGCACAGUUUGAAAUUCUAAUUGGGUCUGAAAUGGAAACACAAAGUACGUUUGCAACUGGGAGGAAAAGAGGAAGAAAAGGAGAAGGAAAAAGAAGGAAAGAAAAGAGAGGGAAGAAGAAGAAGAAGAAGAAGAGAGUUUUCUCUUCAGAAAGGUUCAUCCCAACCAAAAGGCAGGUUCUGUGCAAAUCUCGGAGGCUGUAACUCUGCAUUGGAUGAUGGAAACUUGGACACGCACUGGAUUGAUUAUCUUCGGCAGCUUUGCCAUGUAGGCUCUGGUAACUGCGACUUCAACCUCCUGGCUGGCGCUUUGUCUGAUAAGGAUUCAUUACCUCCCCAACUCUCUGAUUCAUGCCAAAUCCUGUGAGUGUGGGCACCGGCUUCGUACCCAAAGGCUUUUGUUCAAGCAAGCUAUGGCGGUAACAAUGCUGUAAGCUGCUGUCCAGAUUAUUCUACGUUGUCCUGUGAUAGUGGCUCAAAUAGGAGAUAGACUGUCGAGUCUGAUGAGUGCAAAUUGUGCAGUCAUAUUGGAAUUUGUGCUAGCGAGGGUGCAGGCAUUCGAGUUUGAAGAUGGGAAGGGAAUCUGUCCCGCCUUGUUAAAAUGUACUAUUCGAUGUAGACGCGGCAACUGAGACGCAGCAACUGAGACUUGAAUGAUGCACCUUAGGUCUCGAAAUGCAAUAGUUUAUCGUUUCGCAACAAUCGUAUGACCAGCUCUCCAACAGAAAAUGGCCUGAUUUUCCUUUGACUUUUCUCUGGCAUCGUUUCAGCUCGACAAUAUCCUUCUGAGCAAUCGCAUUUGAGCUGUCGAGCAUGGCGACCAAGGUGCAUGACCAAGGUGACGACCAAGACUUCUCUGAGAUCGACACCAUUCUUGCACAAGCCAAGCUGGGUCUUCGCAGGGACCGGUGCCGAGAACACAGGCUGAGACGCAACACGAACCUGUCGGACAUCCCUGAGAAUUCUACUCACGAACCCUCAAACGAAACCACCGCGUUUGCAGCGUCACAAGACACAUCGCAGCCUGAGAUCACAACCAGGGACGGGCACAAGCGCCUACAUCAGAGACUCCAAAUCUUGAGCUUCAUUGCGCCGAUGAAAUGGCUCAGAGCCUACAUGGGCUGCAUGAUGGCGGUGCACGACGACAACUACGACGUGGCUAGAGUCAUGAAGAGGACCCGCAUGAUGGGCGAGUUGCAGUAUCCCGCACAUUCUUCACGCCAAUAAGUUAGGCACGGCGUCGAAUUUGCGUCACAAUCCAACUUGUUCCAUCUUUCUGGUGUUCGGGGAAUCCUGACUCGAGGACUGCUGACGAACAACCUCAUCCACAAUCCCCACGCAGCAGAAUUAGCCCCGAGUUUCUAAAAUUGCUGCAGUGCAGCCACUAAUACAGUCUCUUUUACUAUCUAGCAUCGUAGAUUGUGAGAAUCUGCGCAAGAGCCUCAGAAUUCGCGGCCCUUUUUGAUGAGGAAUCUAUUUAAACCUUCUGAGGCUAUUUAAAUCUUCUGAGAAACUGGAUCAUGUUGGAUCGUCCAUUGAGUUCUGUGUCCUCUGCUUGCUCUCCGCGUUGCACAUGUGGGAGACACACAGACCUCGAAGCCUGGCUGUAGAAGUUUGACACUCUGCAUAAGAAGGGACGCCUCGGAUUGCUCUCCCCACCUCAGCCUUCUCACACUUUGUAUCAGAACUGUCUAGAUUGGCUUGUUGGCCAAAGAAAACAUCACUCACAGCUCACAAUUGCAGCGCCAAGCAAUCUGAAGCUGUUUCUUCGAUCUACUGACCAGGCCAUGUAUUCAUGUUUCGAGAUUCGCUGGAAGGUGAUUAGAUCCUAGAGCACCCAAGUACUGAAACUUUUGAUAGGUUGAGGUUUUGAUGGUGGAAAAUGCUUAGAGAAUGGAGAUUAUGCUGUCUUUUUCUUUACAAUAUUUUUGCUGUAGAAAGUUGAAGUGAUGGACUAUGUUGAAUGUAUUGUACAGGAGGUGAACACAGUUUUAUGAGUUUUCUCAA